rnacentral:rRNA from 1 species
AAAAUGCCCCCGUAACUUCGGGAGAAGGGGGGCCCCGACCGUGGACACCACUUGCUGGUGCGAGCGGGUAAGGGCCGCAGAGACCAGGGGGAAGCGACUGUUUAUCAAAAACACAGGUCCGUGCGAAGUCGCAAGACGAUGUAUACGGACUGACUCCUGCCCGGUGCUGGAAGGUUAAGAGGACCUGUUAGCCUCACGGCGAAGCGGAGAAUUUAAGCCCCAGUAAACGGCGGUGGUAACUAUAACCAUCCUAAGGUAGCGAAAUUCCUUGUCGGGUAAGUUCCGACCUGCACGAAUGGAGUAACGACUUCCCCGCUGUCUCAACCAUGAACUCGGCGAAAUUGCAGUACGAGUAAAGAUGCUCGUUACGCGCAGCAGGACGGAAAGACCCCGAGACCUUUACUAUAGUUUGGUAUUGGUGUUCGGUGUGGCUUGUGUAGGAUAGGUGGGAGACGGUGAAGCGGGCACGCCAGUGCACGUGGAGUCAACGUUGAAAUACCACUCUGGUCACUCUGGACAUCUAACUUCGGCCCGUGAUCCGGGUCAGGGACAGUGCCUGAUGGGUAGUUUAACUGGGGCGGUUGCCUCCUAAAGAGUAACGGAGGCGCCCAAAGGUUCCCUCAGCCUGGUUGGCAAUCAGGUGUCGAGUGUAAGUGCACAAGGGAGCUUGACUGUGAGAGCGACAGCUCGAGCAGGGACGAAAGUCGGGACUAGUGAUCCGGCGGUACAUUGUGGAAUGGCCGUCGCUCAACGGAUAAAAGGUACCUCGGGGAUAACAGGCUGAUCUUGCCCAAGAGUCCAUAUCGACGGCAUGGUUUGGCACCUCGAUGUCGGCUCGUCGCAUCCUGGGGCUGGAGUUGGUCCCAAGGGUUGGGCUGUUCGCCCAUUAAAGCGGUACGCGAGCUGGGUUCAGAACGUCGUG